rnacentral:piRNA from 1 species
UCCAAGGACCUAGCAUCUGUGUCAGCAC